rnacentral:rRNA from 1 species
UACGUAGGGGGCGAGCGUUGUCCGGAUUUACUGGGCGUAAAGAGCGCGUAGGCGGAAGCUUAAGCGGUGCCUGAAAGCCCCCGGCUCAACCGGGGAGGGUGGUGCCGAACUGGGCUUCUUGAGGGCGAUAGAGGAGAGUGGAAUUCCGGGUGUAGCGGUGAAAUGCGUAGAGAUCCGGAGGAACACCAGUGGCGCAGGCGGCUCUCUGGGUCGGCCCUGACGCUGAGGCGCGAAAGCGUGGGGAGCGAACGGG